rnacentral:rRNA from 1 species
GACGAACGCUGGCGGCGUGCCUAAUACAUGCAAGUUGAGCGCUGAAGGUUGGUACUUGUACCAACUGGAUGAGCAGCGAACGGGUGAGUAACGCGUGGGGAAUCUGCCUUUGAGCGGGGGACAAAAUUUGGAAACGAAUGCUAAUACCGCAUAAAAACUUUAAACACAAGUUUUAAGUUUGAAAGAUGCAAUUGCAUCACUCAAAGAUGAUCCCGCGUUGUAUUAGCUAGUUGGUGAGGUAAAGGCUCACCAAGGCGAUGAUACAUAGCCGACCUGAGAGGGGGAUCGGCCACAUUGGGACUGAGACACGGCCCAAACUCCUACGGGAGGCAGCGGUAGGGAAUCUUCGGAAAUGGCAGAAAGUCUGACCGAGCACCGCCGAGUGAGUGAAGAAGGUUAUCGGAUCGUAAAACUCCGUUGGUAGAGAAGAACGUUGGUGAGAGUGGAAAGCUCAUCAAGUGACGGUAACUAACCAGAAAGGGACGGCUAACUACGUG